UUUGGAAGCCAAUUCCUGUUCCAAAAGACCAGAUGGUUUGAUAAACACGUCGUAUUCUCGCGUCAAGACGAUACAUCGCCCACUUCGGUUUCUGAAACCAUCUUCAGCCAACUAUAUUUUGCUUAAAGGAAACGCCUAUCAUCCUAGCUGGGUGCUCCGGUCUUAGUAUAGAAUAUACUUGUUGCAAAGGAGGACAAGAGGAGCGGUGAUCGUGCAAAACCGUUCAUCGCGCGGCGAAUUUCACUCGGAAGCAUUCCGCCGGCUCUUUCUCCGAGAAAUCUCCGGUCCUGUGACGGAAAAUGAAAUCCGAUAUUGUAAUUCCACGCGCUUGUGUAACGCGACCUGCCAUUGGAAACGUCGAGAACGACAUUCCGGUCUAUCCCACUAUUUCGCACUCCCUUGUUCCGCUUCUCUUAAUUUCUCUCUCUUUCUCCGUCUCUAUUUCUCCCUGUGGGAGCGGCUACGAGUCCUGCGACAAGGAAUUCUCUGCUCGCGCAGCAUCCAUAUUAGCCUAUUCGAAAAUCUCGCUUCACCUUGCAUUUAUGCCACGCUGAUGAGCGUUACAG
rnacentral:misc_RNA from 1 species